GGAAGGACUGUGACUCAGUGGUAGAGAUCUAAUUGGCAUUAAGAAGGUCCCAGGUCCAAUCCUUGGCAUCUCCA
rnacentral:tRNA from 1 species